AUUGAACGCUGGCGGCAUGCCUUACACAUGCAAGUCGAACGGCAGCACGGGAGCAAUCCUGUGGCGAGUGGCGAACGGGUGAGUAAUGUAUCGGAACGUGCCCAGUCGUGGGGGAUAACGUAGCGAAAGCUACGCUAAUACCGCAUACGACCUGUGGAUGAAAGCGGGGGACCGUAAGGCCUCGCGCGAUUGGAGCGGCGGAUAUCGGAUUAGGUAGUUGGUGGGGUAAAGGCCUACCGAGCCGACGAUCUGUAGCUGGUCUGAGAAGACGACCAGCCACACUGGAACUGAGACACGCCCCAGACUCCUACGGGGGGCAGCAGUGGGGAAUUUUGGACAAUGGGCGCAAGCCUGAUCCAGCAAUGCCGCGUGCAGGAUGAAGGCCUUCGGGUUGUAAACUGCUUUUGUACGGAGCGAAAAGGCUCUCUCUAAUACAGGGGGCUCAUGACGGUACCGUAAGAAUAAGCACCGGCUAACUACGUGCCAGCCGCCGCAGUAA
rnacentral:rRNA from 1 species